rnacentral:lncRNA from 1 species
AAAUUUAAUCAUCAUCAAUGCCAGCAGACAGUAUGUUAAUGAAAGGUUGCAAGGAAAGGCCAAACGGUCAUUAAGUUUUAAAUAGGUUUUAAAUGCUUUAAAAUAAAAUAAAAUAAAAAGAACUGAAGGAAAGUGUAACAAAUCACAAAAGAUUUGUUCAUCUUCCUCACGAAGACAAACCCAAUCUCUCGACCUCGCCCAUCCUCUCGACCUCUCUCUCAAAAUGCAAACAAACCCAUGGCUUCAAAGAAAUCAACAAGAAUGCUCACCUUGCUCGCUUGCUCUUCAGACGUCUCCGCUUCGAUACAAAUCUCCUGCUCCCACGAACUCUUACGCUUCGUCAAUCGCUGGUGGAGGAGGAGGCGGCUUUUACUCCUGCUCCCACGAACUCUUACGCUUCGUCAAUCGCUGGUGGAGGAGGAGGCGGCUUUUUCGGUGGAAAAUUACUAGGGUUUUUUCGCUACAGUAGCCGUCCAAUUUCUUAGGGUUUUUCUCCUUCUCCGCUAUCUAACCUUUUUUCUCCCUCCCCAAUAGUAUCCGCCCCCCUCCUUUUAUACUCAUCGUGUUAGGGUUUCUGAUUUGGCUAUGGAGAUCAAAAGGGUAUCCCUUUAGGGUGCUCACAGUUUGUUUGUCUCAUUUGGUAUUUGAUCUGGAACAGGUAAUACGAUCCAUAUACUUUCUUACUUUGAAUUCAUCUUGAUUCUUUUUUUGGGUUGCUUGUGGAAUUUUACCGCCGGUGAGAAAAGUUUUACCACUGUGAACCCACUUAGACGAAAAUAGGACUUGUUUCUUCUUUUUUUUUCGAAAUUCAUACUGAUUUUGUAUUGUUGUUGUAUUCUGCACAAUUGCAUCAACUCCACUUCUGCACAAGCUCGAGAUCAAGCCGUACCGAAGUUUUGUUAUCUUGCUUCUAUCAACGGUAAGUUAUUCUCACUUGCUGCAACUUGUAUUCGUCUAUGAACUGAUACAAUUUCCGACCCUGCAGUCUCUACAUCAUUCAAAAUGUCAUGAGCAGACUCAAGCCAUCCCAUCUCAAUGCAACAGGUGAUCAUUCCAUUUUCUUCUCAGUUUAAACACAUAGUUCCUCUGCAAUAGCUUAGGCUCUUCGUGUAUUUUUAACACACUCUCCAAAUUAGUCGAUCUGAAUGUGAUAAAGCAAGGCUUUUGAAAAUGAUUCCUACAUUCUGUUUCUUCGAUUUAUUUGAUAGGUUUGGCAAUGGAAGAUUUGAUGCGUGAACUGUGCUAUUAUUGCAGGUUGUGUGUUCUGAGUGCAGCAGCUGGGAUUUGGCCUGAACUUGGUUUGCCUCGACGGCCUGAAAUUCCUAUGGUUGGACCAUGUUCCUAUCGGCUUUGUAUGGUUCUUUACAUAGGUUUGAUGCAUUGUUUUUGUAUGACCUAGUUAACAUAUGAAUGAUGUUUAAUGCCUUGUUUGACUGUAUGAUAGGCUGCAAUGCCUCUGGCUAGUCCUUUGUAAGUCAUGCGCACAUGGGAUAGAUUGUUGGAUAAUGGCUUGCAACAUGGAUGUUUACCUAUCUUGCACAUGAAGUAGCGUUUCUACAUGGCACAAACCCAACAACAACGGUGGAAAAGGGAUUAGGGUAAGUGUUGAAAGAGUGUAAUUUGUUGUAUUUUCCAAAACUUUUCUUCAUUAUGAAACAUCACGACUAUUUUAAAACCACUGUCCAUACUCAAGGUUUACGU